rnacentral:rRNA from 1 species
UACGUAGGGUGCGAGCGUUAAUCGGAAUUACUGGGCGUAAAGCGUGCGCAGGCGGUUCGUUAAGUCAGAUGUGAAAGCCCCGGGCUCAACCUGGGAACUGCAUUUGAAACUGGCGGGCUUGAGUAUGGCAGAGGGGGGUGGAAUUCCGCGUGUAGCAGUGAAAUGCGUAGAGAUGCGGAGGAACACCGAUGGCGAAGGCAGCCCCCUGGGCCUGACCUGACGCUGAGGAGCGAAAGCGUGGGGAGCGAACAGG